rnacentral:rRNA from 1 species
GACGAACCGUGCAAACGUUAUUCGGAAUCACUGGGCGUAAAGGGUGCGUAGGCGGGUCUUUAAGUCAGGGGUUAAAUCCUGGAGCUCAACUCCAGAACUGCCUUUGAUACUGAAGAUCUUGAGUUCGGGAGAGGUGAGUGGAACUGCGAGUGUAGAGGUGAAAUUCGUAGAUAUUCGCAAGAACACCAGUGGCGAAGGCGGCUCACUGGCCCGAUACUGACGCUGAGGCACGAAAGCGUGGGGAGCAAACAGG